UUUGAGGAACAAGACGUCUGCAAAACACCAGGUACAAUGAUGGGGGCUAAAAGGACCAAGUUGCACAAGGGAUUAGGGAAACAUGCCUAUAACAAAGCACAUGCAGGAACCAAGAGGGGAACAAAGAAAGCACAACGAGGAAAGAAAAGGAAGAACAAGAGGGAGCCGAAUCUUUCAAUUUGGCGACGCUAAUGACAAACGAACAAGUGGCAAUGGAUGUAGCAGGACCAUAGACGAAAUUUUGAAAUACAAAGAUCAGCGUAUUUUUCUUUGUGUUGUUAAACGUAAAUAU